CAAGUGCAUCUCACAUUACCUUCUGCUCAAAACUGAGACAAAAAGGUCUUAUGUUCCUCUGCUCUUCUUCCUCUCAUGCUCUCCAUUUUCAGUCGGAUAAGUUACACAAAAAUCCUCCUAGAACUAGUGAGAAACAGAGAAAGAGUAAGUGACUAAGUGAAGUGAGAACACUAGGCUUUUUGCCGCAAGUUUCAGCAUAAAGACAUGGAGUAGCGUGUCCCAAUGAGGAGGAGCAUACGAGGUUUUAUGAAGUAGACUGAUGUGGAAUGGUCAUGAUGUUGGAUGAAGUUGUUUAUCGUAUUUUUUUAUUUUGCAGCUGUUCAUUUGCUUAUGGAAACUGUGGAAGACAAGGUUGUACCUAAGGAGUAUGAUACUCCAUUAAAAUGACUUAAGUUCUUUGUUUUAUAUUUAAUUUGAUGGAUUAUGAGCAAGUAUAGUUAGUGUGUUUUAAAGGUAUGUAAGAAUUUGGGAUGAUAGUUUAUUCUGGUACAAUUUACUGAUUUGAAUUA